CCUACGGGAGGCAGCAGUAGGGAAUAUUGCUCAAUGGGGGAAACCCUGAAGCAGCAACGCCGCGUGGAGGAUGACGGUCUUAGGAUUGUAAACCCCUUUUUUGAGAGAAGAUAAUGACGGUAUCUCACGCAUAAGCACCGUUUAACUCCGUGCAAGCAGCCGUGGUAAUACGGAGGGGGCAACGGUUACGCGGAUUCACUGGGCGUAAAGAGUGCGUAGGCGGGCUGGUAAGUCAGGUGUGAAAUCCUGUAGUUUAACUUCAGAAUUGCAUUUGAAACUAGCAGUCUAGAGUGUAGGAGAGGUAAGUGGAAUUCGUGGUGUAGGGGUGAAAGGCGUAGAUAUCAAGAAGAAUACUGAUUGCGAAGGCGGCCUACUGGAACAUUACUGACGCUCAUGCACGAAAGCGUGGGGAGCAAACAGGAUUAGAUACCCCAGUAGUC
rnacentral:rRNA from 1 species